CGUUAGACCGUUACUCUGCCGGCGACAAGUCAAUGUACCACAGUGACAUACAAGACUUCCGGUUACAGGUUUCAGAAUAAAACUGCAUUUGACGAACACUUCCGGAAUUCACUACUUCCUGUCUCAGACUCGACAGCCGCAUAGUGUUGAGUCUCACCAUGACAUCAUGGAGAUGAAACAGCCAAAGAACUGCUGAGCCAAUGCCUGGGCCAGACAGCGGCGUGUCAGCGGCGUCUGGUCUAUGAUCAUAGCGCUGUGGAGCAGAGCUCAGAGGGAACUUUGAUGACCCCCAUCUCUCCAUUAAUGUUCCCUGGUGCCUUGUUGUUGCUCAGCUUCCGUGUUCUCUGGUGGCUGAGAUAUUCCAUGUGCUCCAGCCUCGUGUUCAUUCUCGCCUCACCAAGAGCCUACCAGCUCCCUACCAGCUCCAUGCCACUAUGCCUGCGUUUUUGCU